UACCCGUGUAGUCCUAGCCGUAAACGAUACUCGCUAAGUGUCGGCCACGGUGCGACCGUUGUCGGUGCCGUAGGGAAGCCGUGAAGCGAGCCACCGUGGGAAGUACGGCCGCAAGGCUAGAAACUUAAAGGAAUUGGCGGGGAGCACCACAACGGGUGGAGCUUGCGGUUUAAUUGGAUUCAACGCCGGAAAUCUUACCGGGACCGACAGCAACAUGAAGGCCAAGCUGAAGACUUUGCCGGAUUAGCUG
rnacentral:rRNA from 1 species